GCGUCGGUAAUGCAACGGUUCAGCACAUUCUCUCGGAUAGAUUAAGAUCUGGGUUCGAAUUCCGGCUGACGCA